rnacentral:lncRNA from 1 species
AUCAAUUUCCAACUACUUGACACUAAUUAUCUGUAGUACAUUUAUUUAAUUAUUUGAGAGGUAGGUAGCAUGCUAUUUACUUCGGUUAUUUCAUUUAAAAAUAAACUUAGCUGAAAAUAUAAAUCAAUUAGGAUUUGAACUUGAAAUCUCGGAUAUCAACCACCAAGCCUCUUACCACUUGCGCUAGGAACAGUUGAUACUAUCAAUUUAAAUAUUGAUUCAAAUUAAAUAUA